rnacentral:snoRNA from 1 species
ACAAAUAUUUGAAAGAUAGAAUGGACAUACGGUACCGGCGGCCAGCUGUCCGCCGGUUCUAUCCUCAAGCGCCGGGACACAG